UCUCUGUUAGUAUAUCGGUUAGUACACGCGCCUGUCAUCGAUUGUACGGUCGCGCGAAAGCGGGGUUCGACUCCCCGACAGAGAG